rnacentral:lncRNA from 1 species
UUUUUGUUUUGCGAGGACUAAUACUGUUGACUAUCGGGUUUAAUUUCAAGCUCAAGUUAUUAGGGUAUUAGUAGUUAUGGCCGUAUGUUGUACUUUGUCUUUUUCAAAUUAUGCUAAUUUGAAUUUUUGAGUAAUGAGUUGUGACUAUUUUGCAUUUAUUUUGUUUAGUGAGGACUAUUGCUAUUGACUAUUGGACUCAAGUGGGUGUACCGUGCUAAUAGCGAUGCCUAGGCCCAAGUACUCUCAAAUCCAUAUCUCCGCGCCUUUGAAUGUUGUGGUACGUAAUUGUGGUUUUAAAUUUUGAAUAUUUAUCUUGGGCCUUAAUUAACCUGAAAUUGAAGGUCCCCGGGUUUAAUUUCAAGCUCAAGUUAAUUAGGUAUUAUUAGACAAGGCCUUAUGUUGUACUUUGUCUUUUUAAAAUUAUGCUGAUUUGAGUUUUUGUGUAAUAUGUAGUGACUGUUUUGCAUUUGUUCUGUUUUGCGAGGACUAUUGCUAUUGACUACCGGAUUCAACUUCAAGCUCGAGUUAUUUAGGUACUUUUUGUUAGUACUUUAUGUUGUUUUUUAUUUAUAGCAUGAUUUUAAUGUUUGAGUAACGAGUACUGACUGCUUUGCAUUUUUUUUGUUUUGCGAGGAGUAAUACUGUUGACUAUCGGGUUUAAUUUCAAGCUCAAGUUAUUAGGGUAUUAGUAGUUAUGGCCGUAUGUUGUACUUUGUCGUUUUCAAAUUAUGCUAAUUUGAAUUUAUUUUGUUUUGUGAGGACUAUUGCUAUUGAUUACCGGAUUCAACUUCAAGCUCGAGUUAUUUAGGUACUUUUUGUUAGUACUUUAUGUUGUUUUUUAUUUAUAGCAUGAUUUUAAUGUUUGAGUAACGAGUAGUGACUGCUUUGCAUUUUUUUUGUUUUGCGAUGAGUACUACUGUUGACUAUCGGGUUUAAUUUCAAGCUCAAGUUAUUUUUAGGGGUAUAGUAUUAUGGCCGUAUGUUGUACUUUGUCGUUUUCAAAUUAUGCUAAUUUGAAUUUAUUUUGUUUUGUGAGGACUAUUGCUAUUGAUUACCGGAUUCAACUUCAAGCUCGAGUUAUUUAGGUACUUUUUGUUAGUACUUUAUGUUGUUUUUUAUUUAUAGCAUGAUUUUAAUGUUUGAGUAACGAGUAGUGACUGCUUUGCAUUUUUUUUGUUUUGCGUAGGACUAAUUCUGUUUGACUUCGGGUUUAAUUUUCAACGCUUCAAGUUUAUUAGUUGUAUUAGUAUUAUGGCCGUCUGUUGUACUUUGUCUUUUCAAAUUUAUGCCUAAUUUGAAUUUUUGGGUAAUGAGUUUGUAACUAUUUUUCCAUUUAUUUUGUUUAGUGAGGAAAAACUAUUGCUAUUGACUAUCGGACCAAGUGGGUGUACCGUGUAAUAGCCGAUGCCCUAGGGCCCAAGUACUCUCAAAUCCAUAUCUCCACGCCUUUGAAUGUUGUUGGUACGUAGACUGUUCUUUUAAAUUUUGUAUAUUUAUCUUGGGCCUUAAUUAACCUGAACUUGAAGUUCCCCGGGUUCAAUUUCAAGCUCAUGUUAAUUAGGUAUUAUUAGACAAGGCCUUAUGUUAAACUUUGUCUUUUUAAAAUUAUGCUGAUUUGAGUUUUUGUGUAAUAUGUAGUGACUGUUUUGCAUUUGUUCUGUUUUGCGAGGACUAUUGCUAUUGACUACCGGAUUCAACUUCAAGCUCGAGUUAUUUAGGUACUUUUUGUUAGUACUUUAUGUUGUUUUUUAUUUAUAGCAUGAUUUUAAUGUUGAGUAUACGGUAGUGACUGCUUUGCAUUUUUUUUGUUUUGCGAGGGUAGACUUUUGACUAUCGAGUUUAAUUUCAAGCUCAAAGUUAUAGGGUAUUGUAGUUAUGGACUAUGUUGUACUUUUCUUUUUUCCCCCAGAUUACGCUAAUUUGAAUUUUUGGUUAAUGAGUUGUGACUAAUUUUGCCAUUAUUUUGUUUAGUGAAGGACUAUUGCUAUUGAAUAUCGGACUCAAAUGGGUGUUACCGUGCUAAUAGCGAUGCCAGGCCCAAGUACGCUCAAAUCCCUAUCUCCGCCGCCUUUGAAUGUGUGGUACGUAUGUGUGGCUGUAAAUUUGAAUUUAUCUUGGGCCUUAAUUAACCAUGAAAUUGAGUUCACCGGGUUCAAUUUCAGCUCACGUUAUUAGGUAGUAUUAGACACGGCUUAUGUUGUACUUUGUCUUCUUAAAAUCAUGCUGCAUUUGAGUUUUUGUGUAAUAUGUAGUGGAAUGUUUUGAAUUGUUCUGUUUUGCGAGGACUAUUGCUAUUGACUACCGGAUUCAACUUCAGGCUCGAGUAUUUAGGUACUUUUUGUAGUACUUUAUGUUGUUUUUUAUUUAUAGCAUGAUUUCAAUGUUGAGAACGCGUCACUGACUGCUUUGACAUUUUUUUGUUUUGCGCGGUAUAAUACUGUUGACUAUCGGUUUAAUUUCAGCUCAAGUAUUAGGGUAUAGUAGUUUUAUGGCCGUAUGGUUGUACUUUGUCGUUUUAAAUUAUGCUAAUUUGAAUUUAUUUUGUUUUGUGAGGACUAUUGCUAUUGUACCGGAGUCCUUUCAAAGCUCGAGUAUUUAGGGGUACUUUUUGUUAGUACUUUAUGUUGUUUUUUAUUUAUAGCAUGAUUUUAAUGUUUGAGUAACGAGUAGUGACUGCUUUGCAUUUUUUUUGUUUUGCGAGGACUAAUACUGUUGACUAUCGGGUUUAAUUUCAAGCUCAAGUUAUUAGGGUAUUAGUAGUUAUGGCCGUAUGUUGUACUUUGUCUUUUUCAAAUUAUGCUAAUUUGAAUUUUUGAGUAAUGAGUUGUGACUAUUUUGCAUUUAUUUUGUUUUAGUGAGGCUAUUGUAUGACUAGAGGCUCAAGUUGGGUGUACGUGGUAAUAGCGGAGCCCUAGGCCCAAGUACUCUCAAUCCAUAUCUCCACGCCUUGAAUGUGUGGUACGUAAUGUGGCUGUAAAUUUGUAUAUUAUCUUGGCCUAAUUUAACCUGAAUUGAAUUGUUUCCCCGGGUUAUAUUUCCAGCCUCAUGUUAAUUAGGUAUUAUUAGACAAGGCCUUAUUGUUAAAAUUUGUCUUUUUAAAAAUUAUGUGAUUUGAGUUUUUGUGUAAGAUGUAGUGACUCGUUGCAUUUGUUCGUUUUGCGAGGACUAUGAUUGACUACCGGAUUCAACUUCAGCUCGAAGUAUUUGGGUACCUUUUUGUUAGUUACUUUAUGUUGUUUUUUAUUAGAGCACAUGAUUUAAUUUGUUUGAGUAAAGAGUAGUGAAUGCUUUGCAUUUUUUUGUUUUGCGAGAGUACUAAUGUUGGACUAUCGGGUUUAAUUUCAAGAUCAAGUUCUAGUGUAUUAGUGUUAUGGCCGUAUGUUGUACUUUGUCGUUUUCAAAUUAUGACUAAUUUGAAUUUUGGGGUAAUGAGUUGUGACUAUUUUG